rnacentral:lncRNA from 12 species
GACACAGGCAGAGGGAGAAGCAGGCUCCAUGCAGGAGCCCAAUGCAAGAUUCGAUCCCGGAACCCCAGGAUCAUGCCCUGAGCCGAAGGCAGAGAGGCUCAACCACUGAGCCACCCAGGUGUCCCAUAAUGUUUCUAUUUUGAGUGCAAUUGAUUUUUUUUUUUUUUUUAAGAAGGCUCCACACCCAGCAUGGAGCCCAACACAGGACCUGAACUCAUGACCGUGAGAUGAACAAUGUAUCUGGAAUCAACAACAGACACUUAAUUGACUGAGGCAACCAAGCACCCCAAGUACAAUUGAUUAUUUAAGGAAUGUCAACAACCUUGAUUUCUUUCCUGAACCUAUGGAGCAACAGUAACAAUCUCUGAUUCACUUAAAGGCACUUGCAGAUUUUUCCCUUCUUCAGCAACCUAUAAGCAGCAGAUAUGGAUGAUAUACAUGACAUCAUUUUCUGUAUUAUCUACUGAAAACACAAAAUGUCCUUUGGUUUCCAGAAGCAGACUAAGGGAAAUUACACUAAUUAUCCUAAAGGUGUCAAUAAGGCCGUGGAAAGAAUAAAACAUACUAUUUGGUGGAAAGAGCUAACUAUCCUGCUGCAAAUGAACACCCUAUGUAUCUCUGACUAAAUUGACUACAUAAUAAAAGCAAAGCAAAUGUUGACAGAUAUUGGCUGGAAAAUAUGUCACGUAGAAAGGGGAUUUCAAUGUGCUUCACUACUGAAAAUAUUUUGCUGGAUUUUGAACCAAGAAUAAGCUAAGUCUGAAUGAUCUAUUCAAUUGUAUCAAGCCCAUCAAUUUCAGAAAACUUGCUCUAUUUCUAUUGUUGGCAAUUGCCAACACUAAACUCCUAAACUCACAAACUCACAAAAAUUAAAGAGAUAACCUUUCUCACACAAUUCCUUUAAUUAAUAUAACUGUAAAGAUAUUGGCCCCAAGGAAUAAAUGUUAUUUCCUUACAUACA